AGCAUGGUGUAGAGGUUAUUGCUAUUAUGUCUGAAAUUAAAUGGUUAUCAAAUGGUUCUAGGUUCGAAUCCUAGCACUGCUG